rnacentral:lncRNA from 1 species
AGGGACAGGGGAAAAGCCUUCAUCAUCACCAGUUCUUCAUCAACUCCAUAUGGUUUCAUAGAAGAGCAUACCAGAAUAAAUUCUCUGAUAUGUUGAUGAGGGUCCUCAUGCUCCCAUCCAUGGAAGGUGGGCAACAACCUUAUGAACCCAGGCUUAAGCUCAACUCCAGAAGCAUUCUGCUCUAGAGGUAAAUGAGUGCACACCAGUUGAUGACCUAUUUCUUGGUAGGCCAGAUCUCUCAUGGACUUCUCCAUAGGAAAAGUCUUGCUAAACAGCCCAGUUACAGCACUCUCAACCCACUAAAACUACCCCAAACAAAAUUCACUAACUCCCCAAGGUUUGGCAGAACACACUCAGCCUAAACCUUCUUAGCAAAAGUGCCAAUCAAGCACAAAGAAACAAGAGAAAUACACCAGGACAGUUUCCAGAAUUAAAAAUUCAAUUACUAAAACAACACAGGGAAUGAAUAUACUAAACACGCACAACCAAACUCAAUAUUUACAAACGCUACAACUUCAAAAACAGAACCUAAGUUCACUAAAAAAAAAAUCAAAAAGAAACAAACCUAAACAAGACUAACCUAACACUCUAAAACUUAAUUCGUCGAGUCCCCGACAACGGCGCCAUUUGUUAAACUCGAUUUGGUUGCACAAAAAGAGAACAAGAACUGGUCCCCACUAAUGUAGUAUAGGGAUGACUAGAAUAUCAAUCCUAGGACUCGACAAAAUUAAGAUUAAAGUGUAGGGUUAAAUCUUGUAUUAUUCUCCUAAUUAUUUAUUUAAUAACUACUAACAUGUGGG